AGCCCAAGGACAGCGUGCUUUGUGGGAAGAAUGCCGGAUUGAGGGUUAGGAGACUUUGGAAUCCCAGCUUUGCUGCUUGUUUACUACCUGUGAGACCUUGGUGUAAUGGAAAGAACACUGGCUUUGGAGUCAAAGAACCUGGGUCUGAAUGCCUUACUAGCUCUAUACCUCAGUGCCUUGGAGGCAGCAUGGUAUGGCCCUGGGAUCAGGAAGAUCUGGAUUCAAGUCCUGCCUUUGACACAUAUCAGCUCAGUAAUCCUGGCCCCCAGACAACUAUGACUACAAGUUGCU